rnacentral:lncRNA from 1 species
CUCAUUCGCAGUGGUUAUAUUCUACAAAGAUGCUGCAAACGCUGAAUUAAUGAAUACUGAAACUUUUUUGCCAGGAGUUAUAUGGGGUUAGGUUUCUGUAAGCCGCUGGUCACGACAUUUUCAUCAGCUGGUCAACGCAUACCUUGUUUUAUGGGUGUUUCUGUUUAAAGACAUUUUGUUUAAUAUAUGCUGUUGACUCGUUAACAUUGAACUCAAGGCCGACAGCACUAUAACUCUUGCCUGAAGAAAACUUAUCUAGCACACGUAUUUUUUCCAUAAGGCAUAUCGGAGCCUUCUUGUGCUUGAGAACACUAGACGGCACUUCAACACCACACGUGGCGGCCAUUUCAAACAGUGACGUCACCAGCAAACAGCCCAGAAAUGCGAAAAAUGUGGCGCCAAAUAGACGCUCGUUUACAGCGCUAGAGCUGAAACAAGAAGGUGGAGAGCAUCGCCUCGUUCAGCCUCAGCUGGGAACGCACACGUGUCAGGAGGCUCAAAUUUUCGCCACCCCUUGUAUGUGCACAAACAGUGAAAGUGCUUACACGGAAUGAACUCACUCAGCCUCAACGCUCAGGACAGUGCUCUUCAGGGCCCGUCUAUUCCCUGGGUCCCAGAUCCUUGAGCAGUCAACUCAGUCAGGCUGUGAUAAGAAGAGUUGCAUGCCAGAGAGUUUCAUCUCAUUGUCUCUCAACAUCUCCUGGAGUUCCAAGAGUUGCCAUCCAGAUUCUCUCUACCCGGAUCAGCCCCUGCGAGUCCCACGAGUACAGCGGAUGCCUUGGUUUGUGGAUACGUUGAUGUGAUUAUGGCAUUUCAUCACGGAAUAGGCUCAAGAACAGAGCUCAG